GUUCCCCUCCCUCCCCUUCCCUGUUCCCCUCCUUCCCGCUCCCUGUUCCCCUUCUACAGGAGAAUGGAGAACAGGCGUGGGAAAUGUUCCCAAAACGGGGGACUGCGCAGAAUUAAUUCUUAGAAAUAGAAUGGCUGAGUUAGAGGUUAGGCAUUUAAAGUUGAGUUCCAUAAUGCCAAAUUGCAAAAAAAAAAAAAAAAAUUGUAGACCAAAAAGUUGUCACCCAAACCAACGACAUAGCCCAUAAAUCCGCUGGGGAGGAAAGGUUAGCUAGAUGGGCUGCGCAUCGGUCCUGUGGAACACUGCACAGAGAUGAGGAAAUCAAGGCGGAGAAAAGUUGGAGAAUGUGUCCAAAGUCACACCGCCGGCAGCCAAAAGAGCCCGGGGGCUCACUCACAGAAGACACAGCCAACAGCGAUUGCUCUGGGAGAGAGGACCGGGGAAAAGUUAGUGCUGUUCACCGUACACGUUGCGCGCUAGUUGGAAUGGCUUUCACCACGUGCAAGCACUGCUUUUGCAAAUGCAUGAUUCUAAACAAUGCUCACCAACCCAGCCUUCAGUACAGUCCUAAAGUAACAGCCCAGAAACACACACUUCAGCCAGGACCCUCCAUGCUGCCUCCCAGAGCAGCCCAGCAGCUGGACAGCCUGAUGCCCUGGGCUGGAUCAGCAAGUCCUGGAUGCCUUUUACCUGCACCCAGCUCAUCCUCCAGGCCGCAGGACACACAGACUCCCGACCCUGGACUGGGGGCCAGAAGCCACCGAGCUGGAAGGGACAAGAGGUCUCCUGGCCCACCAUGUUUGUUUUCCCAAUAAAGAGGUUCCACAGUG